CUUAAUUAAGUUCGCAGUUUCCACUGGUAUAAAAAUAAAAUUAAUUGCUUUACGUAACGCAUUUCUAUCUCCUUCUGGCGUGUGAUUGUUUAUUUUUUUUUUAAUGCUUAUUGUUCGUAUCGUUCGUGUUGUACUGAUAUCGAGCUGUGCAGAAUUUCUGUUGAUACAAAAUGUAUUAAAUUGUAUUACUGGUUGACAACUAACGUCUUUCAAAAGUCUUUCAAGCAGGUCUGGGAACAGAGGAAGCAAAGAAAAGCAUACAAUGUGCCAGCUACUUCUCCUGAGGCCCAGAGACUAACCUAUGUACACUACAUUAUCAACAAAUAAGAUAGGGAAAAAUAUCCAGGCGUACUAAAGAGCUACACACUUGUGACUGCCUACGUAGACACGUGCGUUACAAUCUAUGCAGGGUAUACUUCUAUACUAUUAUUAUAAAGAGGAGUUAAGAUAACAAUACUAUUUAAGCGGCUAUUAUUUGGUCUACCGCAGAAAGUUGUAUUAUUAACGAAGCUGGGUUUUUAAAUAUAUUUUAUACUAUUUAAGGACAAGUCGCCUGAAAAGUCUCUGCCUGAUUAUACGUCUCAUAUUAGCUCCAUCUUUCACCAAAACGUAUAGCAAAAAGGAUAUGGAAUAAUACUAAAAUGUUAUAAUAUCAACAUUCAACACGGAACUUGUUGUUUUCCAUAAGUUUUUACAUUGAUGUACGUCGACCAGUUGAUUCGAGGAUGGAGCUCAGCACGACGUAGUGCAACUGAACAAUGAAGCCGGACUCUAACGAAACAGUUACUUAACGGCAAUGGCAGCUUUAAAUACGCUUCAUCCAACCAACACAUAACACCGGGAAGGCCGAUAUACUGGGCCACGAUACACAACAGGCCACGAUAUACUGAAAUGAUGACAAAGUAAUUUAUGUAUAAUUAUAAUGGCAGCAUGUUAACUCUUAUAUCCACCGCGUAAAAGAUAAUCUACACUGACAUAUGUAUCCAUUUGUAAUGUAGAUAUACUAACAGAUAAACUCACAAUAGUCCUGCGUGUGUAGGAAACGAACAAUUGUGCAGUGUAAUCUCUGACCUAAAUACAAAAAAUUAUCCUGUUUUUCCAAAUAGGUAUUUAUUUUUCUUCUGAUGUAUUAAAUCCUGUCUGUUCAGGUUUUAUGAUUUGUACACUGGCCACUGAUAAAAGAAAAAAUUACAAUGUGUUCUUGGUUUAAAUAUUUUUUCAUAUUGACAUAUAAGAUUGCCGCCGAUUGUCUUUAACAUGUAAAAUUACGAUUUAUAUUUUGGAAGUUCAAUAUAAUUAUUUUCAUUACCACUACACGCUAGUUAUACUUAAUUCAUUACAGAUCAACUAUUUGAACACUGUCAUUAUAGUAUUACCUAUUUGAGAUCGAUCCGACCGAUCUGGCAUGAUAGGGACCAACACUGUUCAAAUGAGUUUCUUUCGGCAUUUCUUCUCAGCAGUGGUCGUUCCGAAAUGCCAGUAGUUUGUAGCUUGUGAGAAAUAACUAUAAAUAUAA